rnacentral:misc_RNA from 1 species
UACUUUUGCCCGUUUUGUGACAAAAAAAAAUUUUUGUUUUACCUUUGCAUAUUUGGUCUAUCUUGGAUUGAUUUAGAAUGAAAAUGAUAAUAUAGUAUAAUACAACUGUUUGAGGUAUGGUAAUUAUUAAUGGGCAUUUAUUUAUUUAUUUUUGUCUUAUGUAUAAGGUUAUGUGGCUUUUGGGUGUUAUUGUCACUGGUGUAUGCAUUCCACGUGUGCUGCGCGUGUAUGUUCCCUACUUGAUAAGAAUCUUUAUUAUAUAUUGACUAUGGAGAAGAAAAAUAUCAACUACAAAAAAAAAACGUUGUUUGGAUAUUCUUUAUGGGGGUAAAAAUAUUCUAUAUUUAGAUCUUCGUGCAAUGUCGGGAAUACUGCUAGCUGGUUUAUUUUAUUUAUAUAUUUGCUUCUGGUCUUGUUUUGUAGUCAUUAAUAGGAGUUAUUAUUUUGUCUUGUUCAAAUUAUUUUUACUAGCAGUUUUGAUAUAAGUGGUGUAAUAUUGUUACCACAAUAUGCAUAUGAGGACUACUAGUAGUAGUUAGGAUGUAAAACUAGUUAUCUGAAGUCAUCUUUUGACGUCCAAAAAAGAGAAAUAAAUGAUGUGCAUGCUAAAUAUGUGCAUUAUUUUUCUCUAAUGCCAUCUGGACUAGAUGUACUCAUCUUGUCACUGCAUACUAUGGUACAUAGUACAUAAGUAUGUUCUUCUUUUAUGUGCAUGGACAAAUUGGUUAGAGAAAUAUACAUUAUUAUUAUUGCGGAGUUAAAUUAGAAAAAAGAAGGGCUGGUAUGGGGAAGAUAAACUAGAAUGAGGUCUGCCAUAUAGUGUUAGCAUUAUCUGUAAGGAGAUGUGUAAUUCCUUUUUGAAUGAAUGUGGCUUGCAGGAUGCUAAUAGUAAUAUUAAUUGCACACAGAUGAUAUGUUUAUAGAUAAGAAUAAGGUAUGUGGCUUCUUGA